GAUGAACGCUAGCUACAGGCUUAACACAUGCAAGUCGAGGGGCAGCAUUAGGUAGCAAUACUGAGAUGGCGACCGGCGCACGGGUGCGUAACGCGUAUCCAACCUUCCCGUUACUCAUGGAUAGCCUUCCGAAAGGGAGAUUAAUACAUGAUGGUGUUGAAAUUCCGCAUGUUAUUUCAACUAAAGAUUUAUCGGUAACGGAUGGGAUGCGUGACAUUAGAUAGAUGGCGGGGUAACGGCCCACCAUGUCCACGAUGUCUAGGGGUUCUGAGAGGAAGGUCCCCCACACUGGAACUGAGACACGGUCCAGACUCCUACGGGAGGCAGCAGUGAGGAAUAUUGGUCAAUGGCCGGGAAGGCUGAACCAGCCAAGUAGCGUGAAGGAUGAAGGUUCUAUGGAUUGUAAAACUUCUUUA
rnacentral:rRNA from 1 species